GACGAACGCUGGCGGCGUGCCUAAUACAUGCAAGUCGAACGCUUCUUUCCUCCCGAGUGCUUGCACUCAAUUGGAAAGAGGAGUGGCGGACGGGUGAGUAACACGUGGGUAACCUACCCAUCAGAGGGGGAUAACACUUGGAAACAGGUGCUAAUACCGCAUAACAGUUUAUGCCGCAUGGCAUAAGAGUGAAAGGCGCUUUCGGGUGUCGCUGAUGGAUGGACCCGCGGUGCAUUAGCUAGUUGGUGAGGUAACGGCUCACCAAGGCCACGAUGCAUAGCCGACCUGAGAGGGUGAUCGGCCACACUGGGACUGAGACACGGCCCAGACUCCUACGGGAGGCAGCAGUAGGGAAUCUUCGGCAAUGGACGAAAGUCUGACCGAGCAACGCCGCGUGAGUGAAGAAGGUUUUCGGAUCGUAAAACUCUGUUGUUAGAGAAGAACAAGG
rnacentral:rRNA from 1 species